UACGUAGGGUCCGAGCGUUGUCCGGAUUUAUUGGGCGUAAAGAGCGUGUAGGCGGCUUGGUAGGUCCGCUGUGAAAACUCGAGGCUCAACCUCGAGCUGUCGGCGGAAACCAUCUGGCUAGAGUCCGGAAGAGGAGAGUGGAAUUCCCGGUGUAGCGGUGAAAUGCGCAGAUAUCGGGAAGAACACCCGUGGCGAAGGCGGCUCUCUGGGACGGUACUGACGCUGAGACGCGAAAGCGUGGGGAGCGAACAGG
rnacentral:rRNA from 1 species